GAUCAUCGUCCACGGACGUGAGAUGAUCUCCUGCAUUGUUCCAGGAUCAGCUCAAGCUUUCAAUUUCAGAGAGAAAUUCCAUCUUACUGAGGAAGAGGCUCUUGAGGUGAGCGAUCAUUUUCCUGUAGAAGUCGACCUGAAGCCCAACUCCCUAACCCACAACGAGCUGUAAGACCACCCGGGACGGCACUGACGAACCAGACGACCUUGAUUUCACUUUUUUUUGAGAAUAAAAAAAGACAAGAUACGAGAGACCGUGUUACAUUGUAAUUGUGUGAUGCUUUCGUGUCAGUCGCGAUACGGGUUUUUGGGGCUUCCUCCUGCACACACACACCAAAACCACGUCAAAGCUGACAUACUUUUAAAAAACUAACAACAGUUUAAGGAUUCUUACCGUUAAUUGUUGUUGAUUGAUUGAUGUAUUUUCUUUACACUUCCACAAUGUUCCAGCGGUUGGUUUUCCAGAUUUGCUGUCAGACAGAGUCAUGAUGAAUCAAAUAAAAUAUAACUUAGUUGCAAGUGUGCAGCAGUAUGUUUGACAGGAAGUCAAACGGGGACAGCGGAUGAGUCACUUGGUGCGCUUUUCUUUUCUGAUCAUAGCGAACAUGUCUUCAUGCAGCUCACAUUACCAGCUUUUUGCUGUCACCAAUUUGUAAUGAUGGAAGAAAGCUUUUCAGAUCUACUGAGGGAUGCAUUUGCAGAGGCCUCUUUUCCAUCCUUCCAUGAAGGAGAUCUGGACUUUGAGAAUUUAUAUUCUGAAGAGGACUCAAGCACCAUCUCUAGUGAGACUAUACCAACAAAAGAGAAGCAGACUUUGCACCAGGAAGCACCCAGUUUCUGUCAGCCAGGUAUUAUAAACACGGCCGAAAACAUUGAGGAAGAGGUGCCUGACGAAGUUGGUUUUCAAGGCGAGGUCAUUGUGAGCACGGGAAAAUCACAGGAGGAUUAUUACACAAGCUCGGGGGAAGAUUCUGCCCAGGAAGGAGAGGAUGGAGAGGGUGGAGGAGAGGAAAUGAAAUCGGUAAAACAGCUGAUGUGGGCCCACAGCGGCGAGGGAUCCCACCACGGCAGUAAAGGUGACAGACCCUCUGCGGAGAGACGACCUCUGGCCCCAGAGGGGGAGAAAAAGACUCGAGUUAGAAACAAGGAGCAAGGUGAGAGCGAGAGUGAUGAGAUGUCCUAUUUCCAGAGAGUCCAUGAACAUGAAAGGACUGAAAGCGAUCAGCAAGAGCCUGAUUCUGAGAGUGAGGCGGCAAAAUGUGAAGAAGAGGAACAAGAUGAUGAUUAUGAUGAUGAAAGUAAUUAUGAAAGAGAAGACAAUGUUCCCACUUUGUGCUGCGGAUGGGAGGAUGAAAAUCCCCGCUGGGACAAUCCAGUAGGGGACAUUAUGGACUUUCCUGAGUUAAUGGUGCAGCAGGACCUCAUUGCGGAAGAUGAUUAUGGGAAAUAUGUAGAGAAAAUCAAGGACUUCUCAGGGGAGGAGCACCAAGACGCAGGUGAGAGCUUCGCAGAGUAUCCCUCAGACCUUUCUUCCUAUGAAUCUAUAGAAGAUGGAGAAAAGGAUGAAGAAAAUAAUGGCCAACGUACAGGAGACCAGGCUACCAUGCAAAGAGUGAGUCAUUCAGAGAUGUUGCUUGUGGGGAGCAGAGGAACAGAACAGGGGAAAGCUGAACUUGUGGAGACCAUGUCUGGAGAUAAAGCUGAGCUGAGGCUUGAGACGUCUGAUUCCUACAGCUCCAGUGAUGACGAAACCCAAACUACAAGUGAUGAGGAACCCAAUGUUACUUCAAAAGACCUUGAAAAUAAAAGCCAACUGGAGGAGCAUCACAGUGGGAGUAGAAUGUGUGUACGUGAGGAUCCAAAAACGGGUCUUUUCUCUGAUGACCUGUUAGUUUCCGAUAAAGAGGAUAUGACUCUGUGUCCUGCUGAAGGAGUCAGAAUGUCCUCGGGGUCCCUGGAUGAUAGAUUCUUCUUUAGCACAGAAUAUCCAGAUUCUCAGAUCUCAGAGGAGGGAGAGCUCGGAGAUGAUGAGUACGAAGACAAGAGCAACUGGGAACAAGAGCAGGAAAGAAUCAGAGCUUUCUACGAGUUCUAUGACGACAGUGAUCAGCUGACAGGAGACGAAGGAAGACAGACAAAAGUCCACUUCUCCACAGAGCUGUUUUCUCAGAUCAUUGUCUAUGACACAGACAGCAGCGACAGAGGCUCACUAAGCAGCUCCACAGACGGAGAGGAGGAGCUGAGCUCCGCAGAGACACCUGAGGAACCAAAGGAGCCCGUUGAAAGAACAGCAAUCAAACCCAGAGUUCCAAAUACUCAGGCAGAAUCUGAGUCCAGUCUGAGCCAAACGCAAAAGAGGAAACAAGGAUGUCUCAAUAUGCUGAAAGUGGCCCUGAAGAUGGGAGCGAUGACAGCGAUGGGACUGCUGAUGUUCUGGUGGGCAACAGACCAGGCAGGCUGGUUCAAGUGUCUUUUCUCUAGAGCAAAACUCUAGAAUCAACCACUGUUAAGAGAUCAAAUUAAGAAAGAAUAUGUUGUUAAAAUGUGACUGCUCGGAAUUUCAACUUAACAUCCCGUGGAAUACACAAAUAUGUCCUUGAUGAAGCUUUAUAUUUGUUUACAACAAUAAGUAUAUAUUUGCAGUCUGUAAAUAGAAUUUCACAUUGUUAAAAAAAAAAGUAUUAUUAGGCUGCAUUAGAACUAAUUAAGCAUGUAUCAUAAACUCAAGUGACAGCAACUGUGUAACUAUUUUCUUUUCUUUUUCCUCAUUGUAUUUUAUUGAUUUUAGUUGCAAAAAAUUAUGCAGAAAAAAAUAUUUCGGGUUACAUUUUUAUGAUCCGUUUUUGCCAUUUGUUUGCAAAUUGUUUUGGGGGGAGAGUGCUGAUUUUUGCUCUCCUGCUACUGACCAGCAGGGCUCGCUGUUUUUCCUGGGAAAUGUAAGUUACAUGUAAUUCUUCUUCUUUUUUUAAACAAAUUUCCGGUAGCUUAGACGGAUCUGGGCGUAUUACUGCCUCCCUCUGGCCAUCCCUGGUCGCACAUCCUCGGUCUAAAUUCUAUGCAGUCCCAUGUUCAGCAGGAAGUGUAGGACUUUUUACAUUGUCUGCUGGUGGUUAUGAUGAAGGCUAAAAAAAAAAAGUUGAAUGGAAAUUGAAUCUAAAGGCAUAUCUAACAAUGAUUUAAACAGGUUUCUUCUCUCAGCCCUAUAGUUCCUAUUCUCCAGCAGUAUAUGUUCAGGGUGACCACACCCACAUAACCCUGUGCUGUUUCCCAAUAAUGUGCAGGUAAUUGUUUAGAUAUUUUAACAGAAUCUACUUAGUUUUCAUG
rnacentral:lncRNA from 1 species